GGUCUGGAAAAGGGAGUGACUACAUAGCCCAACACCUGUGGGAUGCUUCAUUGCCUAUUCAGCACCCACUAUGGUGCUGACUCUUGCAGAAGAUGUUUCUGAUUUCUUGCUAGGCUGGUGGUUGCACCACAGCCGAGAGGACUCAAGAAGAGCCUGGUCCCUGCUUCACUUAGUGGUCCUGGAGGAGUAAGAAACAUAUCUUCCCUGUCCUGGGCACAUGUGGGUGGGUAGCAGAGCUGAGGCUGGCCGAGGAUCUCGACUUUCCUUUGGGAGCCUUUUGCUGUGCCACUCUCCCAGGCUGAUCAGAUCUGGAGAGCUAACAGCUUUCUGUGGCCAUAUCUGUGUCCAAGGCUGGGCCCAUGCCGGUAGCCAGAUGCCCAGGAUCUGGAAGGGGCCAAGAGACAGCUGGUGGUGGGUAGGCAGCAGCCCUGUGUCAACCUGCCCCCACCAUUACCCUGUGCUGUGAUUUGCAUAUGGUCUGCCCCUGCCCAAGCUGGUAUUGAAAUUUGGUCCCCAAUGUGGCAGUGUUGGGAGGUGGUGCCUAGUAGGAGGAGUUUGGGUAAUAGGGGUGGAUCCCUCAUGGAUAGGUUAGUACCCUGUGUGGAGGGGUGAGUUCCCAUGAGAGCUGGUUAGAGUCAGCCUUCCUGGGCUUGUCUCUUGCUUCCUCUCUCGCCAUAUUGCCACAUAAUCUCUUUGUGUGUGGCCCCCCCUUCCGCUUGGUGCCAUGAGUUGAAGGAGCAUGAGGCCCUCACCAGGUGCAGCGGCCCAAUCUUGAAAUUUCCACCAGAAUUUUGAGCCAAAUAAACCUGUUUUGCUUUUUUAAAAAAUAAAUUACCCAACCUCAGGUAUAGCAGCGUGAAACAGACUAAGACACUGCAUAUGCCCUGUGGUCCCAUCCACUACCCCAGGGUGCAGAGAUGUUCCCUCAGCCGUGAAGAACGACAUUCCUCCCCGGGAUAUCUGGAGGGGCUGUAAGCAGCUUGGGUUGGUGAGAUAAGAAGGGGUUUGGGGGGCAGCUGCUUCGUGAUCCUGGCGGCCUCAACUGCAGGCUCUUGGUCUGAAGUAUUGUAAAGUACGAGAGCCUCGGGGCCCUCACUUCAAGGAGGGAACAGCAUCCCCAUGCCGCAGUAUUUGAAGAUUGUAGGAAGAUGAGAGUCCUUCAGGUGGGACUAGUUCCCACCAUGACCGCACUGCUGGCCAGUGGACUGAAAUACAUCUGACCACUUACUUCUCAGGUUCAUGGGUGUUGAGGAGGAGCCCUAUAGAAUCAACCCUGUCUGCCUCCUCUCAUCCUGCCACUCCUCUUGUUCUGUCUGGAUGACUGCCCUUGUUUUUCAAGGGAAUGUUCCCUGUCUUCCUCAGCCAGGAUCUUUUCUGAACUUGACAUCUCCAUUUGUUCAGGGGGCAGUAAUUGGGUACUUCACUGUGCUGGUCAUUGCGUUCUCAUGGAGAUGCAGAGAUGAAAAAUUAGUAUCUUGUCCAUAUACUGCCCAGAGUUAGAAAGGAUUGCUCUUCUGUGGCUUUGUCUCAGGUCCGGUACAGUGGGGGUAGGGUCCUUCUCCCUUUUCCUAGCCUAAAGGUUCCAGCUGAAUCUUCCCAGGCAGGGCUGAAACAGGAACCAUUUUAGUCUUUGCUGCAACCCAUGGUCAGUUCUCCAAGAAAAGUGAAGAAGGUUCCACCUGGGACAGUCCUCAAGGACUCAAAGGGCCAAAACACAUGUAGAACAUGUUGAGACACUGCGUUUGUGUGAUCACACAUCUCAGCAGUAGGUAUUUCUGCCUCAUUUUACUGAUGAGGAACCUGAGCUUCAAAGGGAAGAGGUGACAGCUCAGGACCACACAGCUGUAGGUAGGAGGCAGGAAAAUAGGGUCUGGGUGCAGGGAACAUAGGCCGAUUCACACUUAGUUAUGACAGGAAAUAUCUUCUCCAUAGGGCGUAGGACAAUGACUUUGUAACUUCACCCUCUCCAUCUACAUAGUGCAUACCCCAAGUAACCAAUGGAAUCAUCUGGAGGGUAUUUAAACUCCCCAAAAUUCUAUAACAGGGCUUUUGUGUGCCUAUGCUCAGGCCCGCUCCCACACUGUGGAGUGUACUUUCAUUUUCAAUAAAUCCCUUCAUUCCUUCUUUGCUCUCUUUGUGUGUUUUGUCUAAUUCUAUAUUCAAAACGCCAAGAACCUGGACAUCUUCCACUGUUAACAGUAAGACACAUCAACUCCUUAGAGUUGGGGCAGCCAGCAUAAAACCAUGCUGACCUCAGCCCGCUUCAUUCACUGCAACAUGAGGAAUGGAUUCUUUGUUGGCAAUUUUUAGAUUGAGCUUUUUUUCUCAUAAGUAUAAUACAUGCUUAGUAAACUAAACAGAGUGGGAAUAAAUAAAUAGGGUACAUGCUCCUUACAGGAAUUUUUUUCCGAACUAUUGGUAUGAAGUGGUUUUGUGUUCUUCAAUUUUAUUACGAGGAUUAUGCAGAUAAUUUCCACAGUUGACUGGUUAUCUGAGUUCUGGAGGCUGGGAAGCCCAAGGUCAAGGGGCUGGCAUCUGGUAAAGGCCUUCUUGCCACACCAUUCCACGGGGGAAGAUGAAAGAGCAAGAGGACACACAAGCAAGAGACAGCUAAACUCAUUUUACAACACAUCCUCAUGAUAACGAACCCACUCUGAUAAUGACAUUAAUCCAUUCAUGAAGGCAGAGACCUCAUGGCCUAAUCACUUAAUGGUUCCACCUCUUAAUACCAUCACAAUGGCAAUUAAAUUUCAACAUGAAUUUUGGAGGGAACAUUCGAACCAUAGCACUGUUCCACUGAGUUUUCAUUUUUUAAUGAUUGCUUUUAAAAAAAUUUCCAGGGUCUCUGGCUGGUUCUUUUUUAUAAACUACCUGUUCUUGUUUCA